rnacentral:snoRNA from 1 species
AUGCGGAUGAUGAAGUUUGAUUGUUUUGCUCGAGAUCCAAACCAUGUGGGCAAAAAUUGAGCUUUUUAACUCUGACGCCGU